UACGUAGGGUCCAAGCGUUAUCCGGAAUCACUGGGCGUAAAGCGUGCGUAGGUGGUCUGUUAAGUGAGAUGUGAAAGCGUGUGGCUCAACCAUAUCGUUGUGUUUCAUACUGGCAGACUAGAGGACAGCAGAGGCAAGUGGAAUUACGAGUGUAGCGGUAAUAUGCGUAGAUAUUCGUAGGAACACCAAUGGCGAAGGCAGCUUGCUGGGCUACUCCUGACACUGAGGUACGAAAGCGUGGGGAGCGAACAGG
rnacentral:rRNA from 1 species